AACGAACGCUGGCGGCAUGCCUAACACAUGCAAGUCGAACGAGACCUUCGGGUCUAGUGGCGCACUGGUGCGUAACGCGUGGGAACCUGCCCUUAUGUUCGGAAUAACUCCCCGAAAGGGGUGCUAAUACCGGAUAAUGUCUUCGGACCAAAGAUUUAUCGCCUUUGGAUGGGCCCGCGUUGGAUUAGCUAGUUGGUAGGGUAAAGGCCUACCAAGGCUACGAUCCAUAGCUGGUCUGAGAGGAUGAUCAGCCACCCUGGGACUGAGACACGGCCCAGACUCCUACGGGAGGCAGCAGUGGGGAAUAUUGGACGCUGGGCGAAAGCCUGAUCCAGCAAUGCCGCGUGAGUGAUGAAGGCCUUAGGGUUGUAAAGCUCUUUUACCCGGGAUGAUAAUGACAGUACCGGGAGAAUAAGCUCCGGCUAACUCCGUG
rnacentral:rRNA from 1 species